CAGGCAAGACAAAAGCCUCUGCAUGAUGGACAAGCUAUCACUUAGAACCAAACUCCUGCUCAUCAGUUCCCUGAACCAAGUGCGAUGUUUGGUCUAAAGCAAGCUCUCAUCUAUCAGUUUGUUUCAUGUGUUCGAGCAUGCAGUAACCCAGGGGACUCGACGUCAGACGGACAUAAAUCUCUCUGAAGAGCAGGGGAGCUACUCAGAGAACCGACUGUUUGCAAGAUCAAGAUUAAAAGCCAAUGAAUUAAUGUGUUUCUGCUAUGGGGCAUUAAAAACAGUUUGCAUUAA